UGCGUAGGCGGAUAAAUAAGUCAGUGGUGAAAUCUUUCGGCUCAACCGGGAAACUGCCAUUGAUACUGUUUAUCUUGAGUUCGGCAGAGGUAGGCGGAAUGUGUAAUGUAGCGGUGAAAUGCUUAGAUAUUACACAGAACACCAAUUGCGUAGGCAGCUUACUAUACCGACACUGACGCUGAGGCACGAAAGCGUGGGGAGCGAACAGGAUUAGAUACCCUGGUAGUC
rnacentral:rRNA from 1 species